AACCACCGCAACUAAAAUGGCAGCCGCUUCCGCCACCGCCCUCUCCGCCGCCUUAUCGUCCCUCUCCCUCAACCGCAAACCCUCCCUCUCCUCCUCCCACCACCGCCAUUCCGCCGCCGCAAAAACCCCCCUCCCCCUCAUCUCCAACAAUUCCCUCCGCAGACUCCCCCCACCCAAGGUCAACCCCGCCGACCUACAAACCACAAUCUACCCCGACGAUGACCCGGAGGGAGUCUCCACAUUCAGCCCGCCGGAGCGCCCGGAGGACUUCAUCGCGCCGCCGUCGUUCGACGACGGACCAAUGGAGUCG
rnacentral:lncRNA from 1 species